UCAAUCCGACCACCUGCUUAGGUUUUCCUCAAAAGUACAUCAUGGCGAUGGAAUCAGGCAAAAGCAGGUGUCAAGUUUCAGACUCCGGCAUCGAACUCAACGUUGAACAUGGGAGUUGAUCCUGUUUUAGCUGGGUUUCGCUUGACAAAGAAUUCGUUGUUUGUUCAUUGGAUCUUCUUUCUGGACUGACUGAAGGUUAUGGUAGCGGAAUAGAGAGUCUGAUCGGCGCGACUCUCUGUUUAGCUGCGGCUUCGAUGGCGCGCCGGAUCCCGAUCCGGUUUAUUUGAGGAUGGUGGUGAGGACUGAGGAUUGAGAAGUUGUUGAAGGUUGACGAUUUUAAGGCGAAAGCUGCUUUGUUGACGGUUUUAGGUAGUGUGAUUGGUGUCGGUGGUGUUCUUUCGAGUUCGGUUAUUGUGAAGAGUUUGGUGAGUGUU
rnacentral:lncRNA from 1 species